rnacentral:lncRNA from 1 species
CUGAAAUUACUACCUUAAAGUAAAUAGAGUGAUCUACCUGACAACAGGUAUUUUGGGAGGAAAAAAUUUAGUCACUAUAUUAUGAGUGACCAACUAGUAUUUAUAGGAGUACAAACCUAACAAACUAUUUACAAAAAUACCCUUACUAAUUUAUUAUCUACAGGAAUACUUAUAUUCUCUUAACACUCCCCCUCAAAUUGGAGCAUAUAUAUCAUAAGCACCGAACUUGUUACAAAUAUAUUUCAUCAUAAAACCCCCUAAACUCUUGGCAAACAAAUCAUCCAAUUGAUCUACAGAUGGUACAUGAGAUGUCUUAAUAAUUCCGUCAAGCAAUUUCUCUCGAAUGAAAUGACAAUCAAUUUCAAUAUAUUUUGUCCUUUCAUGAAACACUGGAUUAGAAGCAAUAUGAACAGCCGUCUGAUUAUCACACACUAAAUUCAUAGGCUGUUUAUGCUCAAACCCAAUUUCAAAUAACAUGCUUUUCAACCAAACCAACUCACAUACAGUGUGAGCUAUAGCGUGGUCUUCCGAUUCUGCACUUGAUCUGGAGACAACUGUUUGUUUCUUACUCUUCCAUGACACUAAAUUACCACCAACGAACACGCAAUAUCCUACAGUCGAUCUUCGAUCUGAGGCAGAACCAACCCAAUCUGCAUCACUAUAUCCUUCAAUAUUAGUGUGUCCAUGACUUUAAUACAGCAACCCUUUUCCAGAAGCACUCUUAAGAUAUCUAAGAAUCCGUAUAACAGCAUCCCAAUGACUAGUACGAGGGGUAUCAAGAAAUUGACUCACAACACUCAUUGCAAAUGAAAUGUCAGGUCUCAUUAUAGUGAGAUAAUUUAAUUUACCCACAAGUUUUCGAUAUUGUUUAGGAUCAUCUAGUAAUGCACCUUGAUCUCCUACUAAUUUCACAUUAGGGUCCAUUGGAGUAUCCACAGGUCGGCAACCUAACAUCCCAACUUCACUCAGCAUAUCGAGUACAUAUUUCUUUUGACAUAAAUAAAUUUCAUAUUUAGACCGAACUACCUCAAUACCCAGAAAAUAUUGUAGAUGACCUAAAUCCUUUGUCUGAAAGUUUGCCUACAGAUUGGAUUUAAGUUUUUGGAUCUCCACAACAUCAUCACCUGUAAUCACAAUAUCAUCCACAUAAAUAACUAAUAAAAUUUUACCAGCAUUAGAGUGCCGAUAAAAUAUAGAGUGAUCUACUCCAUAUCUUGUCAGACCGAACUCCAUGACAACACUACUAAAUCGACCAAACCAAGUCAUCGGAGUCUGUUUCAAUCCAUAUAAGGAUUUUUUUCAAACGACAAACCAACUGCGAAUUCUCCCCCUGAACAACAAAUCUAGGAGGUUGUUCCAUACAUACCUCUUCUUUCAAAUCUCCAUGCAGAAAUGCAUUUUUCACAUCCAACUGAUACAAUGGCCAAUUAUAAGUUGCUGCCAAAGAGAUAAGAAGACGAACAGAGGUAAUCUUUGUAACAGGAGAAAAUGUUUCUAAGUAGUCAAUUCCAUACACCUGAGUAAAUCCCUUAGCUAUAAGACGAGUCUUCAAUCUAUCAAUAGAACCAUUAGGCUGCACUUUUAUAGUGUACACCCAUUUACAACCAACAACCGGCUUACCAGAAGGAAGAGGGAUAAGAUCCCAAGUACUAUUUUUCUCCAAAGCAGACAUCUCUUCUUGCAUAGCUAAUCUCCAACCAAGAUAAUCAAGAGCAUGGGUAAUAAACUUAGGAAUGGAGACAGAAUCAAGGGAAGCAACAAAAGAAAAAUAUGACAUAGAGAGACGAGAAUAAGUAACAAAAUUAAAAAUAAAAUGAGAAGUGCAAUGCCUCUUACCUUCGCGUAAAGCAAUAGGAAGAUCUAACUCUGAGGAGGGCGUCAUACCUGGAUUUGAAGAUUGAGAGUUAAUUGGUAAAGUGCGUGGCAUAUCAGAAACUUUCUCAACCAUGGAAUGACGAGAAUAAACUUGAAAAUUUGGAUGAGAUAAUCGACCUAGUGAAUCUGGUGGACUAGAUAACUCAGGUAAUAAAGGAGAAGUGACUAGUAAAACAGGAGAGGAAAAAGAGGGACAUUGAUCUAACUCACAAGGCAUACCGUGUUUCAUAAAAUAUGAAGUAGAUUCAAAGAAAGUAACAUCAACACAAAUAAAAGAUCGAUUUAAACUUAGACUGUAACAUCUGUACCCCUUUUGUGCUUGUGCGUAUCCUAAGAAAAUAUACUUAAUAGCACGAGGAUCUAAUUUAUUCACCCCAUGAGCAAGCUGAUGAACAAAGCACACACAUCCAAAAAUACGAUGAGGUAAUUUAAACACAAGUUCAUGAGAAAAAAGAAUGGAGUGAAGUAAUUGAUUUCCAAAAAUAUUAGAUGGCACGCGAUUAAUUAAAUAACAUGCAGUUAGAACUGCAUCACUCCAAAAUUGUUUGGGCACAUUCAUGUGCAACAAAAGUGUUCGAGCAAUCUCGAUUAAAUGUUCAAUUUUUCUUUCAGCAACUCCAUUCUGUUGUGGAGUGUGAGGAUAAGAGGAUAAUGAAUAAUACCAGACUUAAUCAUAAAGAUAUUAAAUAGAGUGGAAAAAUAUUUCUUCGCAUUAUCACUGCGAAGUAUACGUACAGGUACACCGAAUUAAUUCUUUAUUUCCGUAACAAAUGCACAAAAAAUGAAAUAUAGUUCUGAACGAUCUUUUAUUAAAUAAAGCCAUGUAACUCUGAAAAAAUCAUCAACAAAGAUUACAAAAUAUUUAAAACCUAACUUUAAAAUGACUCGACUAGGACUCCAAACAUCAUAAUGAACUAAUAAAAAGGGUUCAGAAACCCGUUUAUUGACUCUAGGAGCAAAAGAAACACGAUGAUGUUUUCCUAACUGACAAAACUCACAUUCUAAUGAAGGCAACUGAUUCAAAGUAGGAACCAACUUUUUCAAAUUUUGUAGAGAUUGAUGGUCCAAACGACAGUGAAUUUCAAGAGGAGAAACAGUAGCAGGACACGCAAUCGAACCAUUAGAGUUGAGAAAAUAAAGACCAUUAUGCUCAUGCCCUCCACCAAUCGUUCUCUUUGUUUUCAAAUCCUGAAUGAUAACAGAAUCAGGAGAAAAAGUAACUGAACACUGUAGAGAUUUUGUAAACUUACUAACAGAUAUUAGAUUAAAGGGCAAACUGGGUACGUAAAGAACAGAAGACACCGGAAGAGUUGGGUUAAUUUCUAUAGUGCCUAGUCAUUUAACUUUAGUGGUAGAUCCAUCAGUCAAAGUAAUAUGAGAAAAGGAAGUAAACUCUUGAAAAUUAGAAAAAUUUUUAGAGGUACCUAACAUAUGAUCAAUAGCUCCGGAGUCAAUAAUCCAUGAGUCAUUACAUUUUUGUGCUAAAGAAGUAGAGGGAAGAGAUGCGUGAUUUAUAACUUGGUACAGUAAGAAUUUAACAUAAACUUCUUCGGAUAUGGUAAUAGUCUUCUGGGACCCUUGUGCUGAAGAACUUGAUUCAGUUUGGUCAGUGAUAACCGCAUUAGCAAAUCGAGGAGGUUUUCCAACUAAAUCCCAACAAGUAUUACGAUUGUGAUUCUUCAAACCACAAUGAGUGCACUCACGGGUGCCUCGACCUCCACGACCUCCUCUACUUCUGACACUUUUUGAUAAACUUUUAGUCAUAGCGAAUAGUACUUUAAACCAAAGAAAGGGUCAAAAGUCGAGAUGAACAGUGACGUGUGAACGGUGCGCGUGAACAGUAACGGCGUGAACAGUACGCCCAUGAAUAGUACCGGCGUGAACAGCGCCGCGAUGAACAGUGCAGCGGAACAGUACUUUCGCUGCUAGAUGUUUAACCCUAACUCUAGGACUUUUGCUCUGAUACCAUGACAACAGGUAUUUUGGGAGGAAAACAUCUAGUCACCAUAUUAUGAGUAACCAACUAGUAUUUAUAGGAGUACAAACCUAACAAACUAUUUACAAAAAUACCCUUACUAAUUUAUUAUCUACAGGAAUACUUAUAUUCUCUUAACAUUACCUAACAGGACGAAUAGGUCAUAUGGAGACCAAAAAUGGUAUUCUGAAAGUCAUAUAGGUUCAUCAAAUAAGACUAGGGGAACCUGAACAAACAAAAAUCAUCUCAUACUAAUCUGAAGAUAUAAUAGCUGUUCUGUUGUUUCAGUAUCAUGCCUUUUUGGUACAUUAUUCAUGUGCUUUUAAUGGUUUCUUUACUUUAGAACAUC